UGUCCAAGAUAUCCCCCAUGCCUCUAACUAGUGGGCCGACAUGAAGCCUAAGAUGUCCAGCAAGCUUGUCUUCUUGGGGUCUGUGCAUUGUAGUAUGUCUAUCCUGUAUUAUAUGACUAAAUCCGCUAAUAAGUGUUGAUGGUGCAUGCCUUUGAUCCCAGCAGGCAUAUCUUUGAGUUCAAGGCCAGCCUGUUCUACAAAUUGAGUUCCAGAACAGCUACACAGGGAAACCCUGUCUCAGAAAACAAAGCAAACAACAACAACAAAAAACAACAACCAAAAAAUCAAACUAUUCUUCUUUCUUUAAAAAAAAAAAAAAGUGUGCAUAAAAGACAAAACUUUUUCAAAAUGUGAAGAACAAACACAAAAAUGAGUGAAGAAAUAACAGGGUCAGAAAGCCAAGAAGAGGAGCGCAGAUAUAAAUGCAGGCAGCGAAUGCUUUGUGAUUGUGGAGGGCGGUUCUCUUUGUUAGACUCAGAACUCCUUAGUGGCCCAAAAAGAGAGGGAAAUAUGACUGGCUGUAGGCUGUAUGCUGUCAUUUAGGUGAAAAUACAGCUAAUACAUCCCUGGGCCUUAUUGGCUCUCAUAAAAGACAUUGUAGCCCAUAUCCAUAUCUUCCGUAUUCAAUUACUUUUAAAAGUACAACAGCUUCUGCACAACCCAAAGCUGUUUGGAGGGGGGACUCCAGCAUAACCUCAUGGAAUGGACACAACAGAAAGUUGGCUGGAGUCUUGCCAUAGGAGCAAUGGGACUAUGGAUGCACACUCCUGCCCCAGAUUUCUGUGGUUCUUGGGACUGAAGUCAGGUCUUCGCGCUUACAUGGCAAGCACCUCAUCUGCUGAACCACCUCCCCAGAACUUCUCAGAUGCUUACAAGAAUGUGUGGUCUGCAAUGGGCAUACACUCAAUAUCGUAGUAUGACCUUCCCACUAGGAUGGCAAGAACUCACUGGAGCAGAUACUGAGUACCAAGAGACAAGCCUACGUUACCAAGACCCUUCCCCUCCAGAAACCCUGCUGAGGAAGGCAUCAACAUUAGUGUCUCAAUUUCCUAGAUGCUUCGUCAGCUUCCAGAGAUCAUAUGACAGAUCUGGAUAUAAAACUCUAAAACGACUUCUCCAGCACCAUGUCUGCCUGCAUGCCGCCAUGCUUCCUACCAUAGUGUCAAUGGACUAAACCUCUGAACAGCACACAAAACCCAAUUAAAUGCUUUCCUCUAUAAGAGUUUCCAUGGGCAUGGUGUCUCUUCACAGCAACAGAACACUAAGACAAUGAAAGAUGGCAGAGUGAUGAGGCCAAGAGGGAACCUAGGUCCAGAAUAUUUUAGACCUGACUCUCCACACCAGCUGUUGCCUCCUACCAUUGUAGCCAGCUUCUGAGAGGGAUCCUGGGACAUAAACUGUUGCCAUUUACAACAGUAGCUGUUGCAGCAGUGAAUCAGGCCUGACCUGU